UACGAAGGGUGCAAGCGUUAAUCGGAAUUACUGGGCGUAAAGGGUGCGCAGGCGGUUCUGUAAGACCGGUGUGAAAUCCCCGGGCUCAACCUGGGAAUUGCGCUGGUGACUGCAGGGCUAGAGUACGGUAGAGGGGGGUGGAAUUCCUGGUGUAGCAGUGAAAUGCGUAGAGAUCAGGAGGAACACCGAUGGCGAAGGCAGCCCCCUGGGCCUGUACUGACGCUCAUGCACGAAAGCGUGGGGAGCAAACAGG
rnacentral:rRNA from 1 species